AAUCCCAGCCGUGCUGCUGCAGAUGUUCUUUAGUGAUAGCAUGACUGGGGAAAAGCUAUUUCAGACAUGGAAGUGAAACUGUUUAAUCAGAGAUUGGCCUUCAGUGGUUCUGAGAAACGCUUUGUCAGCCGUAAUUCCCUGGAGGAGGACAUUGGUGUGAGGGGUUCCGUUCUUCCACUUGGAUGUUUUUGUCAAGACACCUGGCUUUUCACAUAGGAAAGAGGACAGGAGACUAAAGUGGAUGCCAAGCGUCGUUUCCACCAAGCAGAGGGAUGAGAUCUGUGUGUAAAAACUCGUCUCUCCCAGAAAGUCUGGCAAUUGCUGAGCAUGGAUUCUCUGGGGGAAUGAAUGAAAGAGCAAAGAACCCUGCACCCACCUGCAGCUAUCCUGGGAAGUGCCUCCAGUGCCCUUGUCUUUGCUGAUCUUCACAUUCCCCUACACACUCUGUACUGGAGCAACUUGCUGUCCUUCAGAAAUAAACCCUUCCACUGCCCCCCUGCAGCUUUGAUGCAUUCAGUACCAUGGGGCAGUUUUUCCAGAUGCAGCUGCCCAUGGCUACUGGCCAUGGCUCCUGCAUUGGGUGACAGAGUGGAGAGGAAGCUGAAGGAGCAGCUAUGGUCAGCCCAAAGCCUGUUCCUUGCAUUACCAACCCUUCCACUCUGCAAAUCAAAUCGUCUCGCGGAGCCUCUCACAGGCUUUGGUUUCCUUUGCUGAUGCCUUUUCAUUUCCAUGUUUGUUCUAUUCCCGUUCCCCAAUGAAGGCUUCUCCUGAGUGCUGGGAUGAAAGGCCCCAGGAUUUCCAGGACAGGAACACAGCCCUGUGGCAGAAAACUCAGCUCCAGUGCUGGUCAGGUCCAGAACAGGCAGUGCCGUCACCCUGGGUCACUCUGGUGGGUCUGUUGGAAGAGUUGAUCUCAGGCAGAAGCUCCAGCCAUUCUCAGCUGAAUGCCUUGGGCUCAGGUGCAUGAGGACAGGCCAAGUCCUUCUCUUCCCCUCCCUCCUAAGCUCACCCCGAUUUUGUGUUGUUGUUGCCUCCCCAGGUGACUGUGUUUGCUGCUGGCCAAGGAAGCCCAAGGAGGGAAAAUGUCUCCCUGGCCCUGGGGAUUGGGCAAAGGCUCAACAUGUGAGCAAGACAUGGUAUUUAUGCAGCAGAAUGAGUGUGCAACGCUGAUCGGUAGGGUGAGACGGUGAUGAUGCCCUUAGAGCCCUCACCUUGGAAAGGCAGAAGGUCUGGGCUGCAGGGAAACAUGGGUCACAGCUGCAGGAGGGAGGAGCCAUGCACAAGCAUUGCAGCUGUGCUGGGAACAAACAUUUUCUCCUCCCCAUUUCAGUCUCUGCUCCCCUUGCAGAGUCCUUGCUGGCAGCUCUGCUCUCUGAAGUCUCUGAGGGGAUUCGUGGGGGUUUCUCAGUCUUUCUCACUCCUGCAGGAUGAGUGGUCACAGCAGGCGCCUCACAUAUCUCCUCCUCACUGCCUUCCUGAGGCAGCCACUGGGCACCCUGGGGCAGAUCACCGUCACCCAGCAAGAAGGACCAGUCACACUGAAACAGGGAGACACCUUUCGAACAAACUGCACUUACCGGACCUCCACUUUUGAUGCCUUGCUCUGGUACCAGCAGAGGAAAGGCCAGGCUCCCCAGCUGGUUUCCUAUCAGGCAGGAGCUGGCUCCAAGCGGAACGGCCGUUUCACCACAUCGCUGAACCCCACAGAGAAAUCCAGCCUCCUGCAGCUGGAGGAAGUCGAAGGCUCUGACAGUGCCGUGUACCUCUGUGCUGUGUGGGACACGCUGGUGCAGGAGCUGCCUGGGCUGGGCAAAAACCUGGGGCAGGGAGGGGCUGGGGCAAUGACCCUGCUGCUCUCUGCUGGCCAUGGCCUCAGGACUGUGGGAUUGUGAGGAGAGACACCUGGAGCAGAAGAUGGGGGUCAUUCCAAUGACUGCUUCUUUUCCACUCCUGAGAAGGUUGGCAACUCAGCGGUGAGGGAUGAUGCCCAAAGAAGUGACCCUGCAGGAGAUCCCAGCCUCCCCUUCCUCUGUGACAGGGAUAGGGUCUCCUCGUUCCCUCUUCUUCUCAACCAGAGUAUCACCUUUCUCCUUGGAAAGCAUGGGCAGCACCCGAGAAGGAAGGAGCACGCGGGAGCCAAGCUUGAAUAUAGCAGAACUUUAAUGAGUCAGAAGAGGGAAACCAAGUCAAUCCAAGUGGAAGUCAGAAGUACAGGGAGCCCGGGGAGCAGCUUAGAGUCUGAGAUCUUUGGCUGUAGAGAAGUUCCCAUGUGAUUUCUGUCAAUCUGCCCCAUGGAGGAACAGGAGACAGAGGGUCCCCACCAGGCUGGUCUUCCUGGGACCUUGAUGUCAAGGGGAACCGAAGCAAACAAGGAAAAGGGAAGAAAGCCAAAACCAUUCAAUUAUCCUGGAAUUAUCCACAGCUGAUGACAUGGACAGAACUUUUGUUUCCAUCACGGAUGCCUUUUCAUUUUCACGUUUGUUCCAUGCCCAUUCCCCAAUGAAGGCUUCUUCCGAGUGCAGGGAUGAAAGGCCCCACAAUUUCCAAAGCAGGAACACAGCCCUGUCGCAGAAAACUCAGCUCCAGUGCUGGUCAGGUCCAGAACAGGCAGUGCCAUCACCCUGGGUCACUCUGGUGGGUCUGUUGGAAGUGCUGAUCUCAGGCAGAAGCUCCAGCCAUUCUCAGCCAAAUGCCUUGGGCUCAGGUGCAUGAGGACAUGACAAGUCCUUCUCUUCCCCUCCCUCCUAAGCUCACCCCGAUUAUGUCUUGGUUUUGCCUCCCCAGGUGGGUGCGUUUGCUGCUGGGUUUUGUUCCCAUCCUGCCUAACAUGGCCCUCGGGAGAAAUUCUGGACAGUUUACCCUCAUCCCCUCUCUGUGUAUGCUCUGAGCACACAAAUAAUGCCAUAGCAAUGCCUGGGCCGUGUCCAGUCCCAGAAUAUUCCAAUUCUUCUUUGCCUGGCCUGGAGUUACUCAGCAGAGUCCACAGUUGGUUGUGGUCCCAUGUGGGUUUUUUCCUUGUGUCUGUGUGAGCCGCUGAGGGGUGGGGGGUCCCAGGGCCAGGGCCCAGGGUGGGGUCAGCGGUGCCUUCUGUGUCUCCUGCAGAGCUGGGGGCAGCCUGGGCUCGCGGGUGCUGGCAGGAGCAGGUCCAAGGGCUGCCUGUCCCUGGCACGGACAGGGCUCCCCCCAGGGCGCUGCUCUCUCUCGGCAGAGCCUGGGGGGCAGAGCCUGGGGGGCACAGACCCCGAGAGGCCGCACUGGAGCAGCAGGGAGGG